rnacentral:rRNA from 1 species
CUAAAACAUGCAAGUCGAACGGCAGCACGGGGAGCAAUCCUGGUGGCGAGUGGCGAACGGGUGAGUAAUACAUCGGAACGUGUCCUGUAGUGGGGGAUAGCCCGGCGAAAGCCGGAUUAAUACCGCAUACGCUCUGCGGAGGAAAGCGGGGGAUCCUUCGGGACCUCGCGCUACAGGGGCGGCCGAUGGCAGAUUAGCUAGUUGGUGGGGUAAAGGCCUACCAAGGCGACGAUCUGUAGCUGGUCUGAGAGGACGACCAGCCACACUGGGACUGAGACACGGCCCAGACUCCUACGGGAGGCAGCAGUGGGGAAUUUUGGACAAUGGGCGCAAGCCUGAUCCAGCAAUGCCGCGUGUGUGAAGAAGGCCUUCGGGUUGUAAAGCACUUUUGUCCGGAAAGAAAACCUCGUGGUUAAUACCCGUGGGGGAUGACGGUACCGGAAGAAUAAGCACCGGCUAACUACGUGCCAGCAGCCGCGGUAAUACGUAGGGUGCAAGCGUUAAUCGGAAUUACUGGGCGUAAAGCGUGCGCAGGCGGUUCGCUAAGACAGAUGUGAAAUCCCCGGGCUUAACCUGGGAACUGCAUUUGUGACUGGCGGGCUAGAGUAUGGCAGAGGGGGGGUAGAAUUCCACGUGUAGCAGUGAAAUGCGUAGAGAUGUGGAGGAAUACCGAUGGCGAAGGCAGCCCCCUGGGCCAAUACUGACGCUCAUGCACGAAAGCGUGGGGAGCAAACAGGAUUAGAUACCCUGGUAGUCCACGCCCUAAACGAUGUCAACUAGUUGUCGGGUCUUCAUUGACUUGGUAACGUAGCUAACGCGUGAAGUUGACCGCCUGGGGGAGUACGGUCGCAAGAUUAAACUCAAGGGAAUUGACGGGACCGCACAACGGUGGAG